GGGGUUUCACCUUGUUGGCCAGGAUGGUCUCAAUCUCCUGACCUCGUGAUCCACCUGCCUCAGCCUCCCAAAGUACAGGAAAUCCGACGAUGACUCUUGGGUGAGCAACGGCACCUAUUUGGAACUUAGAAAAGAUCUUGGUUUUUCCAAACUGGACCAUCCUGUCUUAUGGUGAAAAAGUAAAGAAGAAAGAUAACAUUAGUGUAUUUCUCCUGUGCUUGCC
rnacentral:lncRNA from 1 species